AGCGAACGCUGGCGGCAGGCUUAACACAUGCAAGUCGAGCGGGCACUUCGGUGCCAGCGGCAGACGGGUGAGUAACACGUGGGAACGUACCCUUUGGUUCGGAAUAACGCUGGGAAACUAGCGCUAAUACCGGAUACGCCCUUUUGGGGAAAGGCUUGCUGCCGAAGGAUCGGCCCGCGUCUGAUUAGCUAGUUGGUGGGGUAAUGGCCUACCAAGGCGACGAUCAGUAGCUGGUCUGAGAGGAUGAUCAGCCACACUGGGACUGAGACACGGCCCAGACUCCUACGGGAGGCAGCAGUGGGGAAUAUUGGACAAUGGGCGCAAGCCUGAUCCAGCCAUGCCGCGUGAGUGAUGAAGGCCUUAGGGUUGUAAAGCUCUUUUGUCCGGGACGAUAAUGACGGUACCGGAAGAAUAAGCCCCGGCUAACUUCGUG
rnacentral:rRNA from 1 species